rnacentral:rRNA from 1 species
GGAAACGGACGCUAAUACCGCAUACGUCCUACGGGAGAAAGCAGGGGACCUUCGGGCCUUGCGCUAUCAGAUGAGCCUAGGUCGGAUUAGCUAGUUGGUGGGGUAAUGGCUCACCAAGGCGACGAUCCGUAACUGGUCUGAGAGGAUGAUCAGUCACACUGGAACUGAGACACGGUCCAGACUCCUACGGGAGGCAGCAGUGGGGAAUAUUGGACAAUGGGCGAAAGCCUGAUCCAGCCAUGCCGCGUGUGUGAAGAAGGUCUUCGGAUUGUAAAGCACUUUAAGUUGGGAGGAAGGGCAGUUGCCUAAUACGUAACUGUUUUGACGUUACCGACAGAAUAAGCACCGGCUAACUCUGUGCCAGCAGCCGCGGUAAUACAGAGGGUGCAAGCGUUAAUCGGAAUUACUGGGCGUAAAGCGCGCGUAGGUGGUUUGUUAAGUUGGAUGUGAAAUCCCCGGGCUCAACCUGGGAACUGCAUUCAAAACUGACUGACUAGAGUAUGGUAGAGGGUGGUGGAAUUUCCUGUGUAGCGGUGAAAUGCGUAGAUAUAGGAAGGAACACCAGUGGCGAAGGCGACCACCUGGACUGAUACUGACACUGAGGUGCGAAAGCGUGGGGAGCAAAC